rnacentral:rRNA from 1 species
UACGGAGGGUGCGAGCGUUGUCCGGAAUCACUGGGCGUAAAGGGUGCGUAGGUGGCCUCUUAAGUGUGUGGUGAAAGCCCGGGGCUCAACCCCGGGUCGGCCAUGCAAACUGGGGGGCUUGAGCAUUGUAGAGGCAGGCGGAAUUCCGGGUGUGAGCGGUGGAAUGCGUAGAGAUCCGGAAGAACACCCGUGGCGAAGGCGGCCAGCUGGGAUACACCUGACGCUGAGACACGAAGGCGUGGGGAGCGAACGGG